GACGAACGCUGGCGGCGUGCUUAACACAUGCAAGUCGAACGGAAGGGCCCUGCUUUUGUGGGGUGCUCGAGAGGCGAACGGGGGAGUAACACGCGAGUAACCUGCCCUUGACUUUGGGAUAACUCCAGGAAACUGCGGCUAAUACCGCAGAGGAGCUCCUGCUGCAUGGUGGGGGAUGGUAAGAUUCGGCGGUGGGGGCUAGACUCGAGGGUUAUCAGCUUGUUGGUGGGGUAGUGGCUUACCAAGGCUAUGACGGGUAGCCGGCCUGGGAGCGUGAACGGCGACAUUGGGCCUACGGUACGGACCAGACUCCUACGGGAGGCAGCAGUCGAGAAUCUUGCGCAGUGAGCGGAAGCGUGAUGCAGCGGUGCCCCGUGCGGAAUGACGGCCUUCGGGUUGUAAACCGCUUUCGCAUGUAACGAGGCGUGAGUGACGGUAAUGGGUAAGAAAGCACCGGCUAACUACGUG
rnacentral:rRNA from 1 species